rnacentral:misc_RNA from 1 species
GAUGAAGAACGUAGUGAAAUGCGAUACUUGGUGUGAAUUGCAGAAUCCCGUGAACCAUCGAGUCUUUGAGCGCAAGUUGCGCCCGAAGCCAUUAGGCCGAGGGCACGCCUGCCUGGGCGUCACACGUCGUUGCCCCCCCAUCUACUCCUUCGGGAUUGCGGGGGGCGGAUGAUGGCCUCCCGUGCGCCUCGUCGCGCGGUUGGCAUAAAUGCCAAGUCCUCGGCGACGCACGCCACGACAAUCGGUGGUUGCGAAACCUCGGUUGCCCGUCGUGUGCGGUCGUCGCGCAUCGAGGGCUCGAAAAAAUUGCCGGGCUCCGGCUCGGCUUUCAACGCGACCCCAGGUCAGGCGGGGUUACCCGCUGAAUUUAAGCAUAUCAAUAAGCGGAGGA